UACGUAGGGGGCGAGCGUUGUCCGGAAUUAUUGGGCGUAAAGAGCUCGUAGGCGGCUUGGCAAGUCGGAUGUGAAAACUCCAGGCUCAACCUGGAGCCGCCAUUCGAUACUGCUAUGGCUAGAGUCCGGUAGGGGAGUGUGGAAUUCCCGGUGUAGCGGUGAAAUGCGCAGAUAUCGGGAGGAACACCGAUGGCGAAGGCAGCACUCUGGGCCGGCACUGACGCUGAGGCGCGAAAGCUAGGGGAGCAAACAGG
rnacentral:rRNA from 1 species